GAUGAACGCUGGCGGCGUGCUUAACACAUGCAAGUCGAACGAGAAGUGAAGACGGAAACCUUCGGGCGGAAGGCUUUAUUUCGAGUGGCGGACGGGUGAGUAACGCGUGGGUAACCUGCCUCAUACAGGGGGAUAACAGUUGGAAACGACUGUUAAUACCGCAUAAGACCACAGCACCGCAUGGUGCGGGGGUAAAAACUCCGGUGGUAUGAGAUGGACCCGCGUUCGAUUAGCCAGUUGGCGGGGUAACGGCCCACCAAAGCGACGAUCGAUAGCCGAUCUGAGAGGAGGACCGGCCACAGUGGGACUGAGACACGGCCCAAACUCCUACGGGAGGCAGCAGUGGGGAAUAUUGCACAAUGGGGGAAACCCUGAUGCAGCGACGCCGCGUGAGUGAAGAAGUAUUUCGGUAUGUAAAGCUCUAUCAGCAGGGAAGAAAAUGACGGUACCUGAGUAAGAAGCCCCGGCUAACUACGUG
rnacentral:rRNA from 1 species